rnacentral:rRNA from 1 species
GAUGAACGCUGGCGGCAUGCCUAACACAUGCAAGUCGAUCGGUAAGGCUCUUCGGAGUACACGAGAGGCGGACGGCUGAGUAACGCGUAGGAACACACCCUGCAGUGAGGGAUAAGACACCGAAAGGUGUUCUAAUACCGCAUACGGUCUUCGGAUUAAAGCAUUUAUGCGCUGAAGGAGUGGCCUGCGUCAUAUUAGAUAGUUGGUGAGGUAAUGGCUCACCAAGUCGAUGAUGUGUAGCUGGUCUGAGAGGAUGAUCAGCCAGACUGGAACUGAGACACGGUCCAGACUCCUACGGGAGGCAGCAGUGAGGAAUAGUUCACAAUGAGCGAAAGCUUGAUGGAGCAAUGCCGCGUGCAGGAUGAAGGCCCUCGGGUUGUAAACUGCUUUUAUAAGAGAAGAUUAUGACGGUAACUUAGGAAUAAGGGACGGCUAACUACGU